rnacentral:rRNA from 1 species
AGAGUUUGAUCAUGGCUCAGGACGAACGCUGGCGGCGUGCUUAACACAUGCAAGUCGAGCGGAAAGGCCCUUUCGGGGGUACUCGAGCGGCGAACGGGUGAGUAACACGUGAGCAACCUGCCCUGGACUUUGGGAUAACCCUCGGAAACGGGGGCUAAUACCGGAUACGACACGCCUUCGCAUGGGGUGCGUGUGGAAAGUUUUUCGGUCUGGGAUGGGCUCGCGGCCUAUCAGCUUGUUGGUGGGGUAAUGGCCUACCAAGGCGAGGACGGGUAGCCGGCCUGAGAGGGCGACCGGCCACACUGGGACUGAGACACGGCCCAGACUCCUACGGGAGGCAGCAGUGGGGAAUAUUGCACAAUGGGCGGAAGCCUGAUGCAGCGACGCCGCGUGAGGGAUGACGGCCUUCGGGUUGUAAACCUCUUUCAGCAGGGACGAAGCGCAAGUGACGGUACCUGCAGAAGAAGCGCCGGCCAACUACGUGCCAGCAGCCGCGGUAAGACGUAGGGCGCGAGCGUUGUCCGGAUUUAUUGGGCGUAAAGAGCUCGUAGGCGGCUUGUCGCGUCGACUGUGAAAACCCGCGGCUCAACCGCGGGCCUGCAGCCGAUACGGGCAGGCUAGAGUUCGGUAGGGGAGACUGGAAUUCCUGGUGUAGCGGUGAAAUGCGCAGAUAUCAGGAGGAACACCGGUGGCGAAGGCGGGUCUCUGGGCCGAUACUGACGCUGAGGAGCGAAAGCGUGGGGAGCGAACAGGAUUAGAUACCCUAGUAGUCC